rnacentral:rRNA from 1 species
UACGGAGGAUGCAAGCGUUAUCCGGAAUGAUUGGGCGUAAAGCGUCCGCAGGUGGCUGUGUAAGUCUGCUGUUAAAGAGUGAGGCUCAACCUCAUAAAGGCAGUGGAAACUACAUGGCUAGAGUGCGUUCGGGGCAGAGGGAAUUCCUGGUGUAGCGGUGAAAUGCGUAGAGAUCAGGAAGAACACCGGUGGCGAAAGCGCUCUGCUAAGCCGCAACUGACACUGAGGGACGAAAGCUAGGGGAGCGAAUGGG